GAUCUCGUAGCUCAGUUGGUAGAGCAUUGGACUAGUGAACCAAAGGUUGUGGGUUCGAUUCCCACCGCGGUCA
rnacentral:tRNA from 1 species